AAAAGAUUCCAAAAGAUUACAUUGUUCGCACUAAAAUCAAAUUUAACUACUCAUAAUAAUGGAAGAAAAAUAGGAAAUUGUCUUAGAAUACAUCAUCGAAUUUGUAAUAAAGAUGUAGAAGAAAAAAUAUAAUUUUUGCACCAAGAUUUCCUUCCCUUUCCAAUGAAUACUUCUAAUCUUCAAUUACUUGGUGUUAAUCUUCUUGAAUUUCUCUUUUCAAUCUCCCUUCUUGUUGUCUUCUGUCUAAUAUGUCAAGAACGCGUGGCUUGAUACCACAGAUUUUUAGCGUGCGGCUCCCCCCUAAUUUAGGUCUUCAAUUGUGUAUUUAUAGUGUCUUGAAAUUUAGGGAACAACAGGUUACUAAUUGGGCCGAGAAAAUAUUAUAAAAUCAGAAUUUCCUUUUGUUUCGAAAUGCAGCGCCUGGGCCCUGACUUUCUGCUUGUUUCAGCAAGACGGGUGCCCCAGCGCUCACGAUGGGCGCCGCAGUGCCCGGGAUGCCCGAAACGGCAUUCUGCACGUCUUUCAGUAUUUUCAGCAUAACUUUCUCGUUCGAUAUCUGAUUGAAGUGAUUCAAGAUGCGUUGAAAAGCUAAUUCAAAGGACUACAAUUUUGUUUCAAGAAUUAUUCUCCAAUUUGAUCGUUUUCUAUAUAAAAAAUGAGUCUAAAUGUGAGACCAAAAUUCCAGCGCAAAACUUUUUGGUUGGAAAAUGAUUUAUGAUCAUAUCUUGACUAAAUUUGAUCCCUUUGACACAUCCAAUUGGCUUCUAGAACUCUCGAAUCUUCAUUUCAAAUUCCGACAAGACUUUUGAUUAAUUGCAUUUUAAUCAUCGAAAUUUGGGUCUCUCAUGUUUUGGUCAUUUCAUCCAAUUUCGCUAGCUUUUGCUUCUUUCCUUCCUUUGACCUCUUUUAGCUCUUGUUUUCUCGACUUCCAUCAAUCUACAAAACAACACCAAAAUCACUUGUUAGCACUUCUAAAAUACUCUUCAAGAUAGCAAAAUCAUAAAAUUAAUGAUAUAAUAUAAUGAGUAUAAAUCACUCAACACCCAUGAAGACAAUCAAUUACAAUUUUUUUCUGUUGUCUGCAAUUAAAAACAACAGCUUAAAAAAAAAUGGAGAAAUAACUAAAAAAAUUCAAUUUCCAAAUUUAUGCACUAACCGAAAAAGAAGAAGAAAAAAAAAAAAAGAUUACAACAAGAACAGGGAGAUUGCUUACUGAUUAGUGCCUAUCAAACAACAAAUUGGGAAAGGGUAUCAGAACUGUAAAUUGAAGGAAAAAGGAAAAGCAAAACAAGAAAACAUGCUCGGAAAACCACUUGGAAAGCAAGAAAGACAUACCUAGAUUUGAAGAUUGUAUUAAGCUGGAAAUCGAGGAAGAGGAUAGGAGAUUCAGAUGGAGCUUUUCUGAUUCUUCAAUCCGAGCAAACAGUCAGUAAAAAGAAAGAGAGUUGUUUUUAAUUUGGGCCUCUUUCUCGUGUUUUCAUCCAUUUUCCAUUUUUGGCUGCAAAACACUCAAAACA
rnacentral:lncRNA from 1 species